AUUGAACGCUGGCGGAAUGCUUUACACAUGCAAGUCGAACGGUAGAGGGGGCAACCCCUCGAGAGUGGCGAACGGGUGAGUAAUAUAUCGGAACGUGCCCAGUCGUGGGGGAUAACGUAGCGAAAGUUACGCUAAUACCGCAUACGAUCUAUGGAUGAAAGCGGGGGACUCGCAAGAGCCUCGCGCGAUUGGAGCGGCCGAUAUCAGAUUAGGUAGUUGGUGGGGUAAAGGCUCACCAAGCCAACGAUCUGUAGCUGGUCUGAGAGGACGACCAGCCACACUGGAACUGAGACACGGUCCAGACUCCUACGGGAGGCAGCAGUGGGGAAUUUUGGACAAUGGACGCAAGUCUGAUCCAGCCAUUCCGCGUGCAGGAUGAAGGCCCUCGGGUUGUAAACUGCUUUUGUACGGAACGAAAAGGUUUCUAUUAAUACUAGGAGCUCAUGACGGUACCGUAAGAAUAAGCACCGGCUAACUACGUG
rnacentral:rRNA from 1 species